UCCUGGUUAGCUCAAUUGGUAGAGCGACCGCCCCGGAAAGGCGUUGGUCCCGGGUUCGAACCCCGGACCAGGUCGAA
rnacentral:tRNA from 1 species